GAAACAGAAAGAAAACCGUGAAUCUUCUUCUCCUUCUUUCCUUUGUUUUCCAAAAACAAAACUAAAACCAUAAAAUACAAACCCCCAUUUAUUUACUAGAUCUAAGCUUCCAUUCGAGAAGUGACAGAAGAAGAAGUUGCUCAUUGCCACGCUCCGGUGUUAGUGAGCUAGUUUUCGAUGCGACGUCACGAACUUAAAUUUUACAGGAAAUAAUUACGGUACCGUAAUCGCGCGUUAGAGCUAUCGUUAAGAUAAGAACCAUGAUCAUCCUACCGGUUAGUACCUUGGAGAUGGGAAAGUAGUUAGUCAUACUUGACCAAAGUUGUGUCAGGAGGAUCUUGCGGGGCGCGUAGAGAUCACCAGGGUGGUGUAGUUUUGUAGCAUGAUCAGAUUAGGUGGUUGUAUAAGGACUAGAUGUCUUUCUCUUGGGAUUGUAUUUAUUUCAUUUUGGAAGAUUGUAUAUAUGCUUAAACUGUCUGAUGACUUUUUCUUUUAAUGGGUCCAUGUUCCACA